rnacentral:rRNA from 1 species
AUGGCUGCUAUGUCCGAAAACAAACUGUCACCAUGCUCAUUGCCAUGUGUUUUUCUUGGGUAUUCUGAUUCUCACAAGGGAUAUCGCUGCCUACACCUUCCCACCCGUUGUAUCAUCCUCUCUCGUCAUGUUACAUUUGAUGAAACAUCCUUCCCCUUUGCCAGCCAUAACCAGCCAAACCACAGCGCUCCCAUUUCCGGCGCCCGCGCUGCACCUCCGUGUCUCACCGCGAUCGACGUGCAUGCGAUGCAUGGUCCUGUUCACUCGGACCCCACUCCCCCACCAACCAACUCCUCUCCACCCAAUCCCACCGCCCCGUUGCAUGCCACUACUCCAGUCGCACCCCACCCACCUACGCUAGACAAAAACGUCGCUGUUGCUCUCUUGGAUCGCCCGCCGACCAGCUCGUUGAAGAGAUUACCGAAAACAGGUUUAGUUCAGAAAUAUGAAAGAAUGGGAGGAGGUACACAGACGAGAGAAAAUGCAACUAGACGAGGAGGAUACCUGACUGAGGUUAGCAGCCCCCCCUCUACGUCGUCUGUUCUUGUACCUCUCCAUCGGAAAACUGCUGCUGAUCAACUUGACUGUUGCUCAGAGAGUAAACGCCCGGCCGGGUGGAUCUGGGGUGUUCAUGCCCCCCAAGCUGGGCGUCUCCCUGAAGCUCUGAAGACUUUGGCUUUUGCUGUUAGGAGUGACCCUAUAGUAGUCUUCUGCAGUAUUUCUGUUCCUGCAAGCUGGGCGUGUGGUUGGGUUUAUAUUUUGCUGUUCCUGUUCAGUUACAAAGUCUGGGGGAAACCUGGCAAAGAGAAUGAUGCCCUAUAUGGAUGCUCUGAAAAACAUGGUCCUCCUGCCUCCUGGUCAAUGCUCUGA